rnacentral:rRNA from 1 species
GACGAACGCUGGCGGCGUGCUUAACACAUGCAAGUCGAACGGUGAAAGCGGAGCUUGCUCCGCUGGAUCAGUGGCGAACGGGUGAGUAACACGUGGGCAACCUGCCCCUCACUUCGGGAUAACUCCGGGAAACCGGGGCUAAUACCGGAUAUGACCUCCUUGGGCAUCCUUGGAGGUGGAAAGUUUUUCGGUGAGGGAUGGGCCCGCGGCCUAUCAGCUUGUUGGUGAGGUAGUGGCUCACCAAGGCGACGACGGGUAGCCUGCCUGAGAGGGCGACCGGCCACACUGGGACUGGGACACGGCCCAGACUCCUACGGGAGGCAGCAGUGGGGAAUAUUGCGCAAUGGGCGAAAGCCUGACGCAGCAACGCCGCGUGCGGGAUGACGGCCGUCGGGUUGUAAACCGCUGUCAGCAGGGAAGAAGCCGCAAGGUGACGGUACCUGCAGAAGAAGCAGCGGCUAACUACGUGCCAGCCGCCGCAGUAA